AGGGUUGAAUCGUAAUUGACAAAAAUUCAUCCUCCCCAAAAUCAUUUCCAUCAUCUCUGUCGUCUCCGACCAAUCCAACCUCUGUCUUCUUUCCGGUGGAGCUUGAAGUGGCCGGCGAAUUCUAGCAAAAUUUGUUUCAGCAGCAUUGUCGACAUAGGAACAAAAAAUUGGAAGCUCAAACACUUAACACCACACCAACCCCUGUUCCCUUGAUACCCUCGUAACCUCUUUCCAGUCUCUUUCUCGUCUCUCAACUCCCUCUCUGUGAUCUCUGUGAACCCACCUGUCCCCAUCAUGAAAGCGCACUCGUUAAACGCCGGUUGUUGAAGCUCCCGAAGGUAAUGUCUCCAAAUCUAAUGGGGAAGACAGUUGUAUCAAUGCCAGACGAAAAGAGGGGAAAAGAUCUAAGGACUGCUGAAAGGAAGCAAAGAGAUUUCCAGUAACUCGAGGGGAGCCGUGCCUCAUGAGGAGGGGAUCAUUUCCCAGGAUGGUUCCACACAGGGUAAGGAAUCAAGAUUUGCAUGUUAUUCUGUUUUUGUAGAAGAGCUGCCUUGGCAUAUUAUCUCCAAGAAGCAACAUUGUCUCCUGUUAUUCUGUUAAUGUAAAACAAAUUUGAAGUAUACUCUUAGAGUGGGGCUGAAAAUGAGAUAUUGAUCCUUCACAAAAUAUGCUACUUGUUGCUUACUCUCAUUAUAGUCUGUAUUUUUAGGUUCUUAUGUACUGUUGUCUGACCUAAACUCAGUAAACUUGACAGCUUCUUCAAGAAAGCAUACAUUUUCUGUUUUACAGGAAAAA